rnacentral:rRNA from 1 species
UACAGAGGUCCCAAGCGUUGUUCGGAUUCACUGGGCGUAAAGGGUGCGUAGGUGGUGAGGUAAGUCGGAUGUGAAAUCUCCGGGCUCAACCCGGAAAUGGCAUUGGAAACUACCUUGCUGGAGGAUUUGAGGGGGGAUUGGAAUACUUGGUGUAGCAGUGAAAUGCGUAGAUAUCAAGUGGAACACCAGUGGCGAAGGCGGCUCUCUGGAACGGUACUGACGCUGAGGCACGAAGGUCAGGGGAGCAAACGGG